UUCCGUGAUCUCAAGGCGUGAAAAAGAAUUUUAUUUUACCACGAUGAUACCGUUAACAAAUAAAGAGAUAAAAACCCUUAAACGUCAGAAGGCUUUUUGCUGCUGCUUCACUUGGAAUGUUGCUGCUAUAUGUAUCGCACUUCAUGGCGUUAUUUCAAGUGCGUUGUUACCAUUAACGGUACGAGGUCAAAUUGGUGGUCAAUAUGGUGUGUUAAUGACGAUAGACAUAGAAGGUAAAGACGGGCCCGUGGAAAUCUUUUUGGAAAACGUGCCCUUUGGACUUGAGAUGUUUGUGAUAAGCCUGCUCUUUAUUGGGCAUUUGAUAGGUUUUUAUAAUGUACUUAAGAAAUCGGCUAAAGGCAUGGGUUGUUAUGUAAUAUUCCGUUUCUUGGAGAUGAGCGUAUGUUUUGUUUGGUCUAUAAAUAUAUAUAAGGGAAAGAUACAGUCUCAUACUAUGUCACAGAUUUCAUUGGGAUGGUAUUGCUCCAUUUCUUUAGCUAUCCAAUAUGCCGCUGUAUUGGUAUUAUUGUUUGGACGUGAUAUGUCUUUCAAGACGGCCUAAGCAAUCAUCGUUCACAAUAAAAAACAUUUAAACGCAAC